GCUUCCGUAGUAUAGUGGUAAAACAUCGCUCUUCCAUCUUUGAAUCUAAGCGAAGUCACGAGUUCAAUUCUCGUCGGUUGCA